rnacentral:rRNA from 1 species
CCUACGGGAGGCAGCAGUGAGGAAUAUUGCUCAAUGGGCGCGAGCCUGAACCAGCCAAGUCGCGUGAGGGAAGACGGUUCUAUGGAUUGUAAACCUCUUUUGUCGGGGAGCAAAAGACGCCACGCGUGGCGUUCCGAGAGUACCCGACGAAAAAGCAUCGGCAAACUCCGUGCCAGCAGCCGCGGUAAUACGAAGGAUGCGACGGUUAUCCGGAUUUGUUGGGUUAAUAGGGCGCGCGGGCGGUAGAUCAAGUCAGUGGUAAAAUUGAGAGGCUCAACCUCUUCGAGCAGUUGAAACUGGUUUUCUAGAGUGAGUGAGAGGGAUGCGGAAUGCGUGGUGUAGCGGUGAAAUGCAUAGAUAUCGCGCAGAACUCCGGUUGCGAAGGCAGGAUACCGGCGCUCAACUGACGCUCAUGCACGAAAGUGUGGGUAUCGAACAGGAUUAGAUACCCUAGUAGUC